AACGUAGGAGACAAACGUUAUCCGGAGUUACUGGGCGUAAAGGGCGUGUAGGUGGUUUCGUAAGUCUGGCGUGAAAUAUCUCGGCUUAACCGAGGCAGGUCGUCGGAUACUGCCGGACUAGAGGACGGUAGAGGCGUGUGGAAUUCCGGGUGUAGUGGUGAAAUGCGUAGAGAUCCGGAGGAACACCAGUGGCGAAGGCGACACGCUGGGCCGUACCUGACACUGAUGCGCGACAGCAUGGGGAGCAAACAGG
rnacentral:rRNA from 1 species